AAUUAUUCACUUCGAUUAUCAAAGUAAGCAUCCAAAAACCCAAUAACAUUACACCCAAUAUCAUAAAAUAACACAACAUAAAGCACAGUAAUGAUGCACGAACAAACCAUACAUCCUGGGCCAGAAGGUGAGAUGAGAUGAGAUGAGAAAAGAAGGGAGAAAGGGAAUGGAGGGACGAGAAGAAUGAGGCGUUAACAGAUACAGAGUCUGCUAAUUAAUUAUACCAUCAUUUAAAAGAUUCAAUAGAGGAAUUCGGCAAUAAAAAGCAGUCGAUGACCACAACUUUUAACUUUGUGUGCAACAAGACCUACUUCGGGCCAAUAUCCUUGAGGGCACAAAUUUGUUCCUCUCCCAUGGCAGACAUCACCGACACGACA
rnacentral:lncRNA from 1 species